UACGAAGGGGGCUAGCGUUGCUCGGAAUCAUUGGGUUUAAAGGGUCCGUAGGCGGUUUAGUAAGUCAGUGGUGAAAGCCCAUCGCUCAACGGUGGAACGGCCAUUGAUACUGCUGAACUUGAAUUACUGGGAAGUAACUAGAAUAUGUAGUGUAGCGGUGAAAUGCUUAGAUAUUACAUGGAAUACCAAUUGCGAAGGCAGGUUACUACCAGUUUAUUGACGCUGAUGGACGAAAGCAUGGGGAGCGAACAGG
rnacentral:rRNA from 1 species